CAAUAGCGUAUAUUAAAGUUGUUGCGGUUAAAAGCUCGUAGUUGGAUUUCUGUCUGAGGCGGCCGGUCCACUUUCUGAGUGAGCAUCUGGUCCGCUUUGGGCAUCCUCCUGGGGAACGUUUCCGCGCUUGAUUGUGUGGUACGGAAUCUAGGACUUUUACUUUGAGGAAAUUUAGAGUGUUCACUGCAGGCAUACGCCUUGAAUACGUUAGCAUGGAAUAAUAAGAUAGGACCUCGGUUCUAUUUUUUCGGUUUCUAGAGCUGAGGUAAUGAUUAACAGGGAGUAUUGGGGGCGAUUCGUAUUUAACUGUCAGAGGUGGAAGUUCUUGGAUUGCGUUACGACGAACUACUGCGAAAGCAUUUGCCAAGGAUGUUUUCAUUGAUCUAAGAACGAAAGUAA
rnacentral:rRNA from 1 species